ACCUAUUUGAAAAAUAGGGUCGGUUCGGCCGGAUUUCACACAGGUGUUGCAUGGCUGUCGUCAGCUCGUGUCGUGAGAUGUUGGGUUAAGUCCCGCAACGAGCGUAACCCUCAUCCUUAGUUGCAUCAGGUAAUGCUGAGCACUUUAAGGAAACUGCUAGUGAUAAACUGGAGGAAGGUGGGGAUGAUGUCAAGUCAUCAUGGCCCUUAUGGAGUGGGCUACACACGUGCUACAAUGGUGGCUACAAUGGGCUGCAAAGUCGCGAGGCCAAGCUAAUCCCUUAAAAGCCAUCUCAGUUCGGAUUGUACUCUGCAACUCGAGUGCAUGAAGUUGGAAUCGCUAGUAAUCGUGGAUCAGCAUGCCACGGUGAAUACGUUCUCGGGUCUUGUACACACUGCCCGUCACGCCAUGGGAAUUGGUUUCACUCGAAGCUAAUGACCUAACCGCAAGGAGGGAGUUAUUUAAAGUGGGAUCAGUGACUGGGGUGAAGUCGUAACAAGGUAAGCGUAGUGCU
rnacentral:rRNA from 1 species